CAAAAUAUCACGUGAUUUCAUCAUUGUUUCCCGCUGUUAUGUCCUGAAAGCUGUUUUCGAGUACGGUGCGCAGAUUUGCAUAUGAGUUGGCCAGAAGAUAUGGGUGCAAAUAUCCGAGUGGAUGGGAUGCCACCAAGAUGCCGGGAAAGGACUGGCUCACCUCCUUCCUUGAAAGGAACAACACCUUAUCUAUUCGUAGACCCCAAGCCACCAGCAUGUCCCGUUCCACUAGCUUCAACAGAACAAAUGUGUCCUCUUUUUUUAACAACCUAAAUUCAGUUCUUGCCCGCUACCUUUUUGAAGCAAAGGACAUUUGGAACGUGGAUGAAACAGGUACCACAACGGUCCAGGUGCCAGGUAAAAUUAUCGCCAC